AUGUACCGUGCGCUCACACAUUCUGAGGUACCAGUGAGUAAUAACAAGAAAAUUUGGAAGUCUAAGAUUCCACUAAAAGUGGAAAAUUUCAUGUGGUACCUUCGUAGGGGAGUUGUGUUAAGCAAAGACAACCUCGCAGGAUGCAACUGGCAAGGGAGUUAGAGGUGUUGUUUUUGUACUCAUGACAAGACAAUCAAACACCUUUUUUUCAAUGCAAGUUUGCACGUUCUACGUGGUCAGUCAUCAAAAUAG
rnacentral:rRNA from 1 species